UUGUUUUAAUAAUUGAGUAGCAGAAAGGUGAUACCUGCUUUUUUCCCCAUAAAUGCUUGAGGCUGUUGAAGGGCUAACAUAAAUCUUCUGGGAAGACUUUUGAAAAAUGCUCAGUGGAGAGUUAUGAGUUACUGGCUCAAGUUAUGAGAGGGUAGGUAAUGAAAGGCCGUGCUUGGAUCCAGAUUGCGCAGGAAGGAGGGACUGACAAAUCCAAAAUGACAGGCUAGGAGGAUCGGACAAGUAGAUGGGAUGACAAGCCAGGCUUUGUUGAAUCCUUCCUGGACAAUACAGCGUGCAGCAUGGUGGCCUUCCAUACCAGCAUUGUCACUGGGAUGGCAACAACUCUGAGGAGAAGUGCAGUUAGUACUCAGCCCUUUCAGCUAAGCAUGGAUGAAAAGGAGAGAUAGAGAGGAACUGCAAAGCACCAUGAUAAAGGCAGCUGAGCGGGAAGCUGGGGUACAAUUCCAGCCUCUGCAAAAUCAGAUUGAACUGCAACCCUCGUUAGCCUCUUGCAUUAACCCCACUUUGUGUAAAUAGUGGACAGUGAUCAAGUGCAAAUAAUCACGUGGGCCUAAUUUGCGUCAUGAUAGAUGUGGUUUAAAUGAAAGCCUAAAGUAAGCAUGAAAAAAUCCAUGUCCUAACGAGCACAAUACGCAAAUUACUAUUACGACUCUUAAUCAAAUAAAAUAUUUGCUACAAUUUAUUUUUG